AGCACGGUCAGCCCCGUGUCGUCCAUGUGCACCUGCGAGCCCAGCGGACACCAGCAGGCGCAGCUCGCUCGCUGAGCCACCUCCCGCAGCUGGAUGACGGCCACGCCCACCACGCGGUCCGCUCGGCCGAAACAGUAGUCCUUCACGCACACCUGCAGCUCGUAACACUCCGGACCGUCCUCGUUCCCCAGGAUGCUGUCGGUAAACACACAAAAAAAAAAAAAAAAAAAAAAAGACACGACAGUAGAAAUGAUUUACAUUAUGAAAAAAAUGCAAAAAUGUCAAAUAUAGAAGUAAAACACAAAGAAAGAGAGAACUGUUCUGAUGUGUGGUGCGGCCGAAUAUUUGAAUGAGCGCGAGUAACGAGUAGCUACGUUUGCGACAUUAGCUUUCGCUCGCUGGGUAAGCGUUAUAGCUUUACAUGUACUACGUUACCAAGUGCUCGAAAGGGCGUUUAACUCAAUACGGUGGAAAACGAAAAUAAAACACGGACAGAGAAUAAACUUUCCAGUCGAACAGUAAUUCUGGUUCGUCGAAUUCAUGCAGGGUGCCAAUAAUUAUGAUCCGCACCGUAUAAGACACACAAACUCCACCCGACCGCUUCGUUCCCUCCGUAGUUCGGUCGGAGUGAAGGAAAGGCCGCUAUACGAGCUCUUUUACUCACAAGUGGAAGGUCUCGUUGAAUUUCGGCGCCCAGCUGUUGUUCUUGGAUUUGGUGGCGAAUUUGCGUUUCUUGUCGCCGAGGUGCGGCCCGAUCAUCGUCACUUCCACGAAGGGACGGAACAUUCCGGACGUCUGCCACCUCAGAUCGUUCGCCGCCACCACUGAGCACGGAUCCCAAGCACAACAGGGUGAGUCGGGUUAAUGACAGGGGUUUAACGCAGCCGAAAAACGAGCUUCGAGCUACGGGCUACUUUAACUCGAGCUUGCAUUUUCACUUCUCUGAACGGUUUUGACGGAGUCUGGAGUUACUGUAUUCAAACGUGUCCAAUCUAAUGAAUGAAAAUAAUUACGAAUAAUUCCUUUUAAUGAUAACGCUGUGGAGCAUUAGCAUGUCGCUAACCAACAAUCCCAAGGUCAUGAACGUGUUAAAUCCACCUGAUCCGACGAAGAAGGUGAAGAAGAGGAAGAAGAAGAAAGCGAAGAGGUGAAGAAGAAAAGAAGAAGUGAAGAAGGUGAAGAAGAAGAAGAAGAAGAAGAAGAAGAAGAAGAAGAAGAAAGUGAAGAGGGUGAAGAAGAAGAAGAAGAAAGUGAAGAAGGUGAAGAAGAAGAAAGUGAAGAAGGUGAAGAAGAAGAAAGUGAAGAAGGUGAAGAAGAAGAAGAAGAAGAAGAAAGUGAAGAGGAGGGUGAAGAAGAAGAAGAAGAAGAAGAAGAAGAAGAAAGCGAAGAGGAAGAAGAAGAAGAAGAAGAAGAAAGUGAAGAAGGUGAAGAAGAAGAAGGUGAAGAAAGUGAAGAGGAAGGUGAAGAAAGUGAAAAGGACGGUGAAGAAGGUGAAGAAGAAGAAGAAACAGUUUGGGGGUGUGCUGUUACACAUCAAAAGUCAAAAAUAAAUCGAACACAGGAUGGUGUGAUGAAGUGGAGUUACUUUCCUGUUACAGUACAAAGCACUGACACUAGAGACUCCUUCCAUAAAUGUUAAAUAAACAUCUCCUGACUGAAAUCUUUACCAUUAACAUUCGUUACUAUAGAAACCAUGACCGUCUUGAUCUUGGAAAAACGUGCGUGACCCCGAUUACUGACCUUUAACCGUGACCUUGUGCUCUCCUGUGCCUGGAUGAGUGAACAGAUCGAUCUGUAUGGACACCUCUCCUACUGGCUUAUCCACACCUGAGCCUACACACACACACACACACACACACACACACACACACACACACUUUCAGAAGGCAGCAUGUUGUCAUUUUUUCACUAGUACUAAGGAAGUUUCAACACUAUGUGUUGCAUAUAGCUGCACUGAUGAGGAGACACAGCAUGUAGGUGAACUGAGCUGGGAUGAGGGUGUGUGUGUGUGUGUGUGUGUGUG
ensembl:lncRNA